GUGUCAGCAGCCGCGGUAAUACGAAGGGUGCGAGCGUUGUUCGGAAUUACUGGGCGUAAAGGGUUCGUAGGCGGGAAGAUAAGUUACGUGUGAAAUCCCUGGGCUUAACCCAGGACGUGCACGUAAAACUAUUUUUCUUGAGUGUUGGAGAGGGUGGUGGAAUUGCUGGUGUAGGAGUGACAUCCGUAGAGAUCAGCAGGAACAUCGGAGGCGAAAGCGACCGCCUGGCCAAACACUGACGCUGAGGAACGAAAGCGUGGGGAGCAAACAGGAUUAGAUACCCUGGUAGUCCACGCCCUAAACGAUGAUAACUAGAUGUUGGGGGAGUUGACCCCCUCAGUAUCGGAGCACACGCGUUAAGUUAUCCGCCUGGGGAGUACGGCCGCAAGGCUAAA
rnacentral:rRNA from 1 species